UCUUUGUUGGAGGUAAUUUGGUGUAUUUGAGGAGUAAGAAGCAUAGUCUAGUAUCUUAGUCUAGCGCUGAAUUAGAAUACAGAGCUAUGGCAUAAUUAAUAUGUGAAAUAAUGUGGAUGCUUUAAUUAUUAGAUGAGGUUGGCCAUAAGAUCUCUCUGCCUGUGAAAUUAUGGUGUGAUUUUUAAGUUGCUUUUCAUAUUGUUUCUAAUAUUCUAUUUCAUGAGCAUACAAAACAUAUCGAGAUUGUCACUUUGUUCUUGAAAAGCUUCAACAAGGGAUCAU
rnacentral:misc_RNA from 1 species